CAUCAUAUCCAGAUUAGGGUCUGCAUCAAUUGAUGGUUGAAUGCAGUCAAAUACCAGGCAGGUGUACGUGGCUUAAAGCAAAUGAUGCCUUGGCCGAGGGGCUGAAGCAGUGAGGUUGCACUUGGUGGUUAAAAUGCAACCUCAACAUUUCAUUUUCCUAGCAAACCAAUUCAGGAUGGCCAAGUACGUGGUCUACUAUUAACAGGACUUUAGGUUCCAACCCUUCCUCUUCCAAGUAUCUUUUUCACUUUUGAGAUGAAGCCAGCACCGGCACUGGUGGAACCACUCCCGAAAAAGGAUGGCUGUCACCUAUGCUUUCUGAUUGUGUUGCCAGAACACAGGCAGAUAAUUUCUGUUUUCGUUUUUGAGAGUGCAUGGGUUCUCUGCACGCUGCGCCUGCCUUUAUCAUCCGCCUUGCAGUGUUGCCAUGUACAUAGUACAGAGUUAACCUGCCGUUCUGUUUUAUGCCCUGGGACCCUUCUUGUGCUUUUAGGAAGGCGCUGUACGUGCUAUUGGACGUCUUCUUCCAGAAGAGCCUGGCUUCAUUGCAGUUGAAGACUUGCUUUGGAUGGGAUCCUUUCUCUUUAACCAACUGCUUCAACUCUGCCAGAAAUAUAGCAGCAGAUUCUUCACUGGUCGUCACAGCCUCUCCAUAUAGGGCCAUAUAUCUGCCUGGUGCACCUGUCAUCUCUACAAGGCCCUGGACUAGUUUGCUGUAGCCUCUGGAAAGAGAAGAGUUGGCUACCGACUCCUUGCCAUUGACGUUUCAUCUCAUUUGUCGGAAUAGCGUGAAGACCUAGAUUUUAAACCUGUUCUGGACUCUCACCCUGACCCACAGAACCUGCAUCAUCUGCUUGGGUAACACCGAACCAGAUUUCACCUGAUCCUUCUGAACUGAGGGAGGGGAAUAUCACAAAAGCACCAGAAGAACACUAGCCUCCCAGAGGCCUGAUGGGAUUUCCUGUACCAGAACGACUUGGACAGAGAAAGAGCCUCAUUGUUCAGAGCCAGCAGGUAAGGAGGGAGGGAGAGUGGAGAACCGUGCUCGGGGAGGCUAAGGUCAGUCGCUGUGCCCAGGGCAGGCUUGGAGUUCCUGUCUCUGUUGACUUACUUGGCUGGGAGAACACAGCUCUCGGUCAUACAGGAUUCUAACCCUGGUUAGAAUCCCUUGGUCAGUUAACCUGUCUAACCUUCAGAUCCUUUAUCUGUAAAAUAGAGCUAAUAAUGUACCCCCCACAGGGGUAUUUUGGAGGAUAGAUGAGGUAAUAUCUAUAAAGCACUUUGGACACUACCUGGUACGUUCUAAGUGCUAAAACGUGGCAUUUAUUGUAAGGUGACUAUUCCAUUUUCUAAGUCUGUUCUAGAAGCUCCACCUUCCUAUCUCAGUCCACUUUUGGUACAUUUCACUGCUCACUGAUAACUCACCAGAGAGGUAGGCCAAAUCAGUCAGGUUUAUUACUUGUUAAUAAAUCUGGGAGGUUGUCACUAAAAUGGGUCAGGGUUAGAGAAGGGAAUGGAGAAGACUGGAUUCUUGACUCACGUUUAGAACUUACGAGCUGCGUGGACUUAGGUAUAACCUUUCACAUCUCUGAGCCUCUUUAUUCUUUACUGAAGGAAGAUUAUAAUAGUAUCUUUCUUAUUCUCCUCUUGUGGGACCAUAGAGAUAAAGUUGCAAAAGUGACUGGUAGUUGCAGACUCAGGUGGAAAUAAGCUUUAAGGCAUAAUUUACUAUUAUUGUUAUUAUUAUUAUUGUUACUUUUUAUUUUAGAGAAAGAGAGCACGCACAGGAGUGGGGGAGAGGGGCUGAGCAGGAAAGAGAGAGAAUCUUAAGCAGGCUCCAUGCUCAGUGCAAAGCCCCUAGGUGGGGCUCGAUUUCACAACCAUGAGACCAUGACCUGAGCUGAAAUCAGGAGUCCGAUGCUUAACUAACUGAGCCACUCAGGCACCCCUAGGGUACAAUUCGUUAAGUAGGCUCAUUUUUUGUCUGGGCUGAUUCACCUGGUGCUGAUACAGAACUUCAGUAAGACUUGGAAGUAGAUUCUUUACCCGGGACUUUAAAAUGAUAACAGAAAGGAUUGGGAGGAACAAAAUUUGGACUAUGGAGUGAACUACCUAUUAUUUGCUAAAUUUUUACUUCAAGUAGAGAGACUAGACACUAGCUCUGAUAUUAACUAUAUUACUUCCCCAGUAGGGAACUUCUUAAAAUUGGAUAAUUUUAAGAGGUAUGACUUGGGGAGGGGCACCUGGGUGGCUCAGUUGGUUAAGCAUCUGACUUUUGAUUUCUGCUCAGGCCAUGAUUCUGCAGUUCAUGGGUACUAGCCCCACGUUAGGCUCUGCACUGUCAGCAGAGAUGUCUGCUUGAGAUUCUCUUUCUUCCUCUCUCUCUGUCUCUCUCUGGCUCAAAAUAAACACAUAAACUUAAAAGAAAUUAAAAACAACGUA